GUUUGAUAGGCAGCUUGCCUUGUGAGAGAACUUCUUCGGCAAAUUCAACUAUGUCAGAUCCAAUUUCCUCCCAACAAUCUUGUAAGAAUUCUGUCGAGAUCAUGUCAAGGCCUAGUUCUUUGUCUCGAGGAAGUUCCUUCACAGCAAUCUUCACUACUCCUGGGGUGCUGUCUCAUUUGAGAUCUUUCUUUUGAGUUGGGGUCACCAGUUUUGAUACGCUGGAUAGGCAAAUUGACUUGGCUUUACUGUUGUUUUCAACAGCGGUAUCUUUGGUGUUUAGAUUUUUGUAAUAAGCAUGGGCGUAUACAACCAUGUCCUUCUAAAGAAUAAAUAUGCUGCCCUGGUCAUUAAAUUCUCUGAUUCACAUUUUCUUGUGUUUAGUCCCAUAUUGUUGGAAGAAGUUAGAGUUACAUCUGUCCCCCACCCUAGUCCACUUCGUCUAUAAUGCUGUGAAUUGUUUUUCUAGCCUGCUAUGCCAUAUUUUUUGUAACUGAAUCUGGGCUGAAUUGAGUGAGACUCUAGCCGUCUAAUUGCUCGAAUUUUCUUGCAAUCUGAUUUCGGCUGAGAGUAAGUCUGCGAGUUGGUUUUGAUACUAUUGCUUCAAAUUGCGAUGGUUAUUUUUGGCUAUGCAUGCAUUCAUUUCCCUGACUAUUUUCAAGGCUGCAUGCACUUUGUCACACCACAUAUGAUGUUAGUGGUUAAAGAUGCUGUGUUUCCAUGCUUCGGUUAGAAUUUCCCUUCUCGUUGCGAUUUCUAGCUAUCUUUUGUCGAAAAAUUGCGUUCUGGAUAGAGGUUUUCCUGUAGGUUUAAGUUUGAUGAAUAUGGGAGAGUGGUAGGAGAUACCUUGCUGGAUUGGCCAGAUACCAAUUAAUCCACCUCUAUCUUGUAGUUUCGUCCCGAUGUAGAAACUAUCUAUUCUAGUGAGUACCAUUCAGGAUGUGGGGCGGUGGUUGUCCCAUGUAAAGUGUUCAAUAUUGGUUUUUCGAAAUUCUCCCAUUUGAAAAGAAUCUUGAACUUGUAGUUUGAUUAAGAGAUUGUUCCAAGCCAUUGUUUCUCGUAAGCCGCGGCCUAGAUGAUUAUUUAUCAUCUUAUAUUUCAAUAAAAUUGAAAUCCCCUCCCAUAAGCCAUUGUGCCUCUGGUAAGGGGAAGUCAGCAAUCUUCUACCAUAAAUUUGAUCUAAAUCUUGUGUAGUUCGGACUGUAUAUGUUCAAUAUGCCGGUUUUUAUAGCACGUGACCGUUCGAGUAUAAUAUAUUGCACUCUACUCCUUACGAUCACACCAUGGGCGGUAAUGCCCUCGGCUAGUUUAUGAGAUGUGAGGAUGGCAGUGCCAUCAGCUAGGCUGUCUUCGCGUGCAGAAUAUACGGCAGCAUUCCAAAAGAUAGGUCCCUUCAUGAAUUCCAGUUGCGGUACCCAUUCGGUAUAGUCAAUGUGGCUAAGUCGGUGUUCUUGUAUAAUGAUAACGUCGGGUUUUGGAUACGUAUUUAGCAUAAAAUUUCAAAAUUUGUGGCGUUUGCAUACGUCUUCUAGGCCUUUUCCUAGGCACUGGACAUUGUAUGAGGCUACAAUGAGGCUAUCAGUCAUCCUUAUCUAGGAUGGUUUCCUCUCCCAGUUUCUGCUCAAAGCAAAUCAGGAGGGGGGAGGGGGGGGGGGGUAUUGAUUGCUGCUGGGAUCUUCGCAUGAUGGAGUUGCUAUUUAUUUUCAGUCUGCAUGUGUUAUUGUUUGUAUUCUCUUCAGUAUGGGGUCUAAAUGCAUACCUGAAUGGGAGACAUGUUUCUAUUUCAUCAUUUGGUACUGUUUGAUGGUGGUGACUUGUUCAUCUAUCGAUAUGAUAGCUACCCAAUCACAGACUGUAAUAUUAUCUUAGGAUCUCCAUUCGGAUGACCACAGAGCGUCUGUCCAUUGCUUCAAAGGGUUAUACCGGUUUUUUUUUAAUUUGUAAUCUCAUUCCAUAGGCACUGCAUAGUUUGAUUCACCAAGUGAUGUUUUGAUGUUUCUGGGUUCCAAUUUGUGUCACUUGGAGUUUGUGUGAUUUGUAGUAUGCACAGCGGGACAAUGGAGGUUUUAUGGACCAAGGCUUCUAUUGCAUGAUCAGGGGUGGUACGGACCAGUAUGGAUGUUACGUGACCUUGUGCCCGCCCUUCACUGGGAGGUCGUUUGCGGUCAUCCCUCCUGGUGAGUGCACAUUGCUUGGCGUGAUGGGAUGUGCUUCUGCACCGAUUGCAUUGGGAUGCAAGUCCGCUGUAUUCAAUGUGGUAUUCCUUUUCCCCGCCUGUUGGGUUGGGUAAGACCAAAGAGAAUGGAAGCUUGGUGAUAUCUGCAACUAAAACGCGAACUUUGGGUCCUGAAACCUUGCUACGGUAAGUUUCCAUGGGAUCCACAACGAGGACCUCUCCUAUGGUGCUGAAUAUUUUGGUGAGAAGUUGGGGUGUCCUAAAUAUUCGUCACAGACCCUUGAAAUGCGCCCAGAUCGGGAAAGUGUAUUUGGAUGUUGUAUUAUCACCAGGGUCGAAAUUUGCCUUCCAUGGUGUAAAAAGUACAUCUUGAUUGUUAAAUUUAUGUUGUUUCGAGAGCAUCUGUGUCUUGCCUUGCUCGCUUGCACCUCAAUGUAUCCGAUUCCAAGCAUGGUGAUGGAGGAGUAAGAGUUGUGGACUCUUGUGGCUCAUUCGUGAAGAAAUCUCGGACCCGGGUUCUUCCUCAUAUAUCCUAUCAAGGUAUGGCUUUCCUCGUGAGUUAUUUGGUUUUGCACCUGUUGCAUUGUACUCUGGCUGAGAUCGACCUUUAUCUUGUGGUGAUCAGGUUUGUUUUGAUUGACUAUCGGAGUUGUAAGAGUGGGCGCUCACAUGGCUCCUAUGGUCGGCGUGUCAAUACCAAACGCUUGUAGUAUCUGAUCAACUUCCGGCUUCAGUUGUGCCAGUAGUCUCGAACCUUCUUCCUCAACUGUGUACUGGAAGCACAAUCCUAAGUGUGGAUUGGCUCGAGUAAAAUCCUCGGUUGUGUCUCAUUUCGUUUGCACGUAUGCUUUAAGGUUUGCAAUUGUGUUUUGGGCUCGUUUCAAAAUAACUGGGUCAACUAUGGAUUCCUAUCCGUGGAGGCAGGUUUCCGUGCCGUGGAUUGGAGCUGUAUUCCCUGUUCGUGUUGUU